CGGAUGUUCAAUUAGCAGACAUAAUGUCAAAAAUAUUUUUUUCUUACAUCAAUCGAUUCGAAAUCAUUUGGGAAACACGUCCGUAAAAUUUCAGAGUUUAGGAAAUAAUAAUUUCGUUGCAAUAACGAAAUAAAGUUAGUAUCUGAAAAUUUGCUAUGAAAUUUCGCGGUUAUUAGCAGACAUAAUGUCAAAAAUUAUUUGUUCUUGCGUAAAUUGUUUCAAAAUCAAUUAGGAAACAUGUUUGUAAAAUUUCAAAGUUCGGGAAACAAUAAUUUUGUUGUAAUAAUGAAAUAAAUGUUAGUGUGGGACUUGGUUAGGAGGAGCGCUGGUGUGUGGACGUAUGGUGUAGCGUGAGCGGAUAAUAAGGCGAUUUAGAGCGAUUGUAAGCGAGUUAAAGAGGUAUUUUCGAGGAAACUAGGUAGAAUGGGAUUAAUUUUCGGCGAGUAAUUGGAGGGAAGAUUAUCCGGUUCUGCGGCUGUAAAAUCAAAAAAUGUUUGUCUACAAUUGGUGGAUAACCAUACCGAUUUAACUAAUUUUGGUGUGGUGCAACUUUUCACACAACCACAUCCACAAAAAAUUAUUCCAUCUCCCUAUUGGGGUAAAGUACCACCACGUCUUCGAUCGACACUUUCAACCAAUAAAAAUAAAAGUGAUCAAGUUACUAGUAAAAUUAGCGAUGACCAUAGUUCUGAUAUUGAAGAGGAAGAAUUAUCAAUGGCGAUAACGAAUACAUCAAGGUCAUCUCCUCUUGUAUUAAGUCGCUUGUUGAAUCGUUCCAAAGGUUCUUUAUUAUUGGAAGACAAUGUUAAAUCGGAUAAAUCAAUUAAUCAGCCUAUUAUUCUUCCAAAGGAUUUUAAUCCUGUUGCGGCACUUGUACAAGUGGAAACUACGCAUGCUUUUAUGCACAAAAUCAACCAUCAGAUUUACAAACCUGUUAUAGGAUCGCAUGAUCCUUCCACAAAUUACAAACAAAUUGUAGCCAGUGGACGUAUUAAAGAGCAACAGAUACUUGGUUGUUUGAUAGUGGAAAUAUUUCUAGCCAGCAAAUUCCGUGCGACUUGGAACGUUGAGAAAAUGUCAUUCGUACAGAGAUUUACGACGUGUCUAAAUAUUUUGAAGACAUCGACGGAUAAUUUACCGAAAUGUAUAAGAAACAUCGUAUCUUUGUUAUUGCAAAUUAAUAUUACGCCGAAAAGUUAUAAUGUAAAUAAUGUAGAAAUGAAUGACAUUUCAACGGUAAUUUCAGAAUUUUAUUAUACUGGAUGUUUUAUGAUCAAAGAGUUUUCCUAAAAAAUCAAAGGAAUUAAAAAAAAA